rnacentral:rRNA from 2 species
UUUGAUCCUGGCUCAGGAUGAACGCUGGCGGCGUGCUUAACACAUGCAAGUCGAACGAAGCACCUUGAUCCGAUUCUUCGGAUGAAGAUCUUGGUGACUGAGUGGCGGACGGGUGAGUAACGCGUGGGUAACCUGCCUCAUACAGGGGGAUAACAGUUAGAAAUGACUGCUAAUACCGCAUAAGACCACAGCACCGCAUGGUGCAGGGGUAAAAACUCCGGUGGUAUGAGAUGGACCCGCGUCUGAUUAGGUAGUUGGUGGGGUAACGGCCUACCAAGCCGACGAUCAGUAGCCGACCUGAGAGGGUGACCGGCCACAUUGGGACUGAGACACGGCCCAAACUCCUACGGGAGGCAGCAGUGGGGAAUAUUGCACAAUGGGGGAAACCCUGAUGCAGCGACGCCGCGUGAGCGAUGAAGUAUUUCGGUAUGUAAAGCUCUAUCAGCAGGGAAGAAAAUGACGGUACCUGACUAAGAAGCACCGGCUAAAUACGUGCCAGCAGCCGCGGUAAUACGUAGGGGGCAAGCGUUAUCCGGAUUUACUGGGUGUAAAGGGAGCGUAGGCGGCGGAGCAAGUCAGAAGUGAAAGCCCGGGGCUCAACCCCGGGACGGCUUUUGAAACUGCCCUGCUUGAUUUCAGGAGAGGUAAGCGGAAUUCCUAGUGUAGCGGUGAAAUGCGUAGAUAUAAGGAGGAACACCAGUGGCGAAGGCGGCUUACUGGACUGACAAUGACGCUGAGGCUCGAAAGCGUGGGGAGCAAGCAG